UACGUAGGGCGCGAGCGUUGUCCGGAAUUAUUGGGCGUAAAGAGCUCGUAGGCGGUCUGUCGCGUCUGCUGUGAAAACUCAGGGCUUAACCCUGAGCUUGCAGUGGGUACGGGCAGACUAGAGUGCGGUAGGGGAGACUGGAAUUCCUGGUGUAGCGGUGAAAUGCGCAGAUAUCAGGAGGAACACCGGUGGCGAAGGCGGCCAUCUGGCUCGGUACUGACGCUCAGGCG
rnacentral:rRNA from 1 species